CCCAUUAUUAAUGAGUUUUCUCCUUUGCCUCUGUUGUCAUGCUAAUCUUCCAAAGCUAAUAUAUAUAUAUUUUUGCAAAGAGUCAGUGAUGAAGAUGAGAUUCAAACUCAGGACCUUGUGAGAAACUGUAAAGGUCUUUACCAGGAGGAUGGCAUGAUUGUAAAGACAGGUGAUGUUUCACUAGCAAACCAGCUUGAGAGGGAGGCUACAGAGGGAUGUCCAUGUCAUAAUUGUAGAGCUGGUAUAUGAUUUCAGAGGAAAUGUAUCCGACUCACACCUGUUGAAGUGGUAGAUCGACGAUCACAUGCCUUGAUGCAUCAUUUGAGAGUAAUACACUACCAUUGCCAUCACGCAAACGAGGAGUACGAUCAAAUUUUGGUAUCUAAUUAGUUGGUUGCAGAAGGUGUGCUUGUAGGUUUAAGUUGUAGUCGGUGGAUAUUUCAUGACAUAUUGUUGUAAAUCUUCUCAUAAGCUUUAUAUACUCCAAACAGAUUUGAUUAGUGUCGGAAAUUAUUUUUGUAGAAGAAAUAAUUCUCUUAAGAUGAAUAGUUGAUAUAGAACAUUCUUUGAGUGUUUAGUCACUUCAA